rnacentral:lncRNA from 1 species
GUCACUUUGCGGCCACUAUGAGGACUGAGCUUCCUCUCCCCAGGACCCGCAUGGGAGAGACCGCGGCUUCGAGACACCUGGGGACACCUGGGGACACCUGGGGCGGCGUCCGCGGUGAGGACUGGGAGACGCUGCUGCAUCUCCGGGACACCACUUGGGGCCGAGGCCAAGGGACCCACCCAGGAGGGGCCAUGGCUUCGAGACACCUGAGGACACCUGGGGCCACGUCCGCGAUGAGGACAUCUCUGGGACACCUGGGGCUGCAUCUCCGGGACACCUGGGGCUGACCCUGGUACGGGGAAAGGAGGAGGAACACAGAGACGCCCUCGUGAGGUCGGGGACCAGCAGGCACCACAGUCUAAGGCCAAUGAAACAGGCGCCCCUAGAUGAGUGCUCGGUGUUUGUUUUGUUUUGUUUUCUUUUGAGAAGGAGUUUCGCUCUUGCUCCCCAGGCUGGAGUGCGAUGUCGCGAUCUCGACUCACUGCAACCUCUGCCUCCCGGGUUCAAGCGAUUCUCCUGCCUCAGCCUCCCGAGUAGCUGGGAUUACAGUCAUGCGCCAUCACGCCCGGCUAAUUUUGUAGUUUUAGUAGAGACGGUGUUUCUCCAUGUUGAUCAGGCUGGUCUCGAACUCCUGAUCUCAGGUGAUCCACCCACCUCGGCCUCCCAAAGUGCUGGAAUUACAGGCGUGACCCACUGGGCCCGGCCAGUGCUUUGUGUUUUAAGGCUCUUUUGUUAACGCAGUGGAAACAACACAGGAAAUGGAAAAGCAGGCACAUUAUCAUUCUCAGGCCACUGCAUUUAGCCUGGGCGACAGAGCGAGACCUUGUCUCAAAAAACAAAAACAAAUGAAAACAAAAACAAACCAUUUUGUGUGUCUAAUGGAAGUGACCUCGUCAACAACAGUCUUUUGUUGAGAAAGUCUGUUUAAUUGGCAGUGUAUUUGUAAUGGUACAUAAAAUGACGUCUGCUUUAUAAGCAUUCUCAUUCCUAUAUUAGAUGAAAUGUAUUAACUAUAUCAAGCUUUGAUAUUAUACCAUAAAA